CUUUAAGAUACCACAUUAUUAAGUCAGAUUUCCCGAAAAAGAUAAUCAGCAAUCUCCCAGCCUAUGACAUAGGGCAGGUAACCGUGGGGAAGAAUUUCUGCAGACGGCUCCUGCUGUAUCUGCACACGGACACUGCUAAUGAGUGACAGCCACAAUGAAGACACUGUCUGACCUGGAGUCCGUCCUUUAUGCGAGGUUGUGAGGAUCAGUGAUCUCUUUCCCAGGGCGGAGAAGUGCCUUUAAUUUGUGGUCCUCAUCCGCAGAAGAGCGGAAGAUUAGCCCUGAGCUAACAUGUGCUGCCAAUCCUCCUCUUUUUGCUGAGGAAGACUGGCCCUGAGCUAACAUCCGUGCCCAUCUUCCUCUACUUUCUGUGUGGGACGCCUACCACAGCAUGGCUUGCCGCUAUGUUCGCACCCAGGAUCCGAACUGGUGGACCCCGGGCCUCCGAGAAGCGCAACGUGCAAACUUAACCGCUGCACCACCGGGCUGGCCCCAUGAGAAUUAUUUAAAAAGUAAAGUGCUUGAUAAAUCACAGAACUGACAUCCUCUCUGAAUGUUCUGGGCGUGCAGGUAUCAAAGCGGAACCUCUUAGAGCGGGACCUCUUAGAGGCCUGACCCUAGUCUUCAGGACCGUCCUACUGGGGACAGAGUGGAGGUCACAUGCACACCCAUUCAGUCUUUGACUGUCUUCCUGCCUCCAGCCAAGAAGAAACUGAGAAGGCUGCCUGGGAGAUCUGAGCAGUUGUCCAUAACAAAUUGGGUAGAGAUCACCUCCAAUGGGGUUGCUGACAACUGGGAAUAAAUCCAGGCUGCCGACUCAGACGGGAAGGCUGCUGGGUGUGUGUGUCAGUCAUCAUCU
rnacentral:lncRNA from 1 species